AUGCUUUUCAGAAUUAGAGACUGGAUGAUGAAAGGUUUUCUGAACUGGUUUUUUAUCUGGAUUUCUGUGGUUAGGGCAACUGAUAUAGGGCCGCGCGGGUCAAAGAAAUCAUCAGUGGGCUCAAUUUCCUGGGUUCCAGAUGCAGAUUUAUCAUUUGGUUCUGAUUUUAAAUUGGCGGCUGAUCUGUUUGCACCGUUUGCGAUUGCAAAGUUUAUGUUAAAAGAUGGCGCCUUGGAGUAA